rnacentral:lncRNA from 1 species
GGAAGUGGAGUUGCCGGAUGACUUCCGCUGCCCCAUCUCGCUGGAGGUGAUGACUGACCCGGUGAUCCUACCGUCGGGACACACCUUCGACCGCGCCUCCAUCCAGCGCUGGCUCAACUCCGGUAACCUUACCUGCCCGGUCACCAACCUCCCCCUGUCCCCCUCCCCCUCCCUCAUCCCCAACCACGCCCUCCGCAGCCUCAUCUCCAGCUUCCUCGCCCAGCGACCCACCGCCAUCGACGCCGCCGCCGACAACCGCGACGCGCUGCUCCUUGCCCCCCUCUCCUUUCCCUCCGAUGCCCCCACCCUCGCCGCCGUCCUCCGCCUCGCCCAGCGCGGCGGCCCCAACUCCCGCCGCCUCGUCGCGGACUCCGGCGCCGCGUCCGUCCUCUUCCGCCACGCCGCCGCCCCCGACCCUCCCGACCUCCA